CUGGCAUGACAACUGGUCCCAACACUUGGGCCAGCAUUUGGUCGGUGGGAUCGAGUAUAAUGCUUCAAGGUGAUCAGCCAAGAAAUACUUUUACGUGGGAUUAUGUUACAGAGCUACUUGGUUGCCUAUGCGUAUUUGGUUUCACGCACCAGGUUCAUGUGAGGAAGUUGAAUAUUCUAGCGUCAAUGCAAGUGCGAUGGGCUGAUCCUCAGCUGUACAGGUGAAGAUGGGAAAACUACGAACACUUCUUUGCUAGAAAAGAGCAAUGGUCCGAGGAGUCGCCAGGACAGCAAUUCCAAUGACAGCCAAACCAUACUCAAGAAUCAAAACAUGUUGUGAUUUCAUAAAGACCUGGCCACGCGCCCAAACCAAUUCUCCACACAAUGGCAGUUUUGUCUGAAGCCUGUUAAAAACCAGGUACACGCUUGAAUGUAAGUCUGCUUACUCUUUCACCUGCUAAACUAAACCCUUGAGGUUUUCUAAUCCCCUAUAUGAGAUCUGGAGGCGUAGCGAUGGAGAAAGGAGAAACAAAUGGGAAAACUUUGCAGUUGAUAAUGCAUUUAAAAACCCGUUGCUAGGCGGCCGAUAAAGUCUGGUUUUUAUUUACGUCGGUGUCACCAAUCUGCAGUGGCCCUUGAGGGACAUGCAGCAAGUUGGACGAGUUGCUAGAAAUAAGAAUUGAGUUGCUGCAUGCUCUACGAAAUGCUGCAAAUAAGAAAAGAGUUGCUGUAUUUUAGAUGAAUCGCUACAAAUAAGAAACGUGACAAGUUGCUGCAAAUGAGAAACGAAUUGCUGCAUGUUAAACGAUAAGUACUGCGCGAGCAGUUUAACUGCCAUUUGGGACGGAGUUCUAGUUUAGUUUACUUUUCGACGAUUUCUCAGCUAAAACGAAGAGCAAUAUUUCUAAGCUACAAAUAGUACAGCAAGGGAUUACCUCACUUCCGGCGACGGAGUACGAAAAAAAGCUGUUUCAUUAUUAGUACUCCUACCCCUAACGCAAUAUUUUCAGUAUUGAUUUUACAUGAAGUGAAUAGUUUAAUGGUAAAAUAUUUUUAUAUGAUUUGAGCGAUGUAUCUUGGAGACAUCAAGGUUAAGACUUUUAAUAUGCUAAUGAGUGUGACAUAGGAGGCAUUUGGUUUCACUUGUCAUCAUGUGUAAAUUGAAAAACUAAUUGCUUUUAAUUUUUUUUGCAAUAACCUUUCUAUCAAUCCUUAGGCCCGAUCCAUACGUCGCGCUUUUUAUGUGCCGAACCUAAUAGUAUCUAUUUGGCACAUGAAAGGCUCGACGUAUGAAUCAAUUAAGUUCGGCACAACUGGAUUAGGUUCGACACGGUACUGAGCUCGACCGCGCCAGUCGAGCCGCACGGCAAAAGUUUGACACUGAUUCAAACGUCGAGCUCCUGUUGUGCCGAAUCAAAUGCAUAGAUUAAAAUUAGAUGAACCCGGACUUAAAAAGCAGCGGUAUUUGGUAAUGAGUAUGCGCGAUACGGUCUUUUUUGUUUUUUGUUUUUUUUUGUUUUUGUUUUUGUUUUUUUGUUUUUUGUUUUGUUUUGUUUUGAAUCUUCUGUUGGUGUACUUAGUCCAAACCGUCUCCCACCACCCGGCAUUUCUUGAGAGGCGGCGACACGAUCUCACAACGGUCCCCGAAGUGUAUUUUGUAAGGAAAGAAGCAACAGCAUUACAGCGAAACUGGCUAUAUGUCUUCUUCUGCUAACAAGUAACAGCUUAGACUGCAUGAUAUUUUGCCUUCUUGCCCUUGCAUGUCGAAUAGCACGGAGAAAAAGUAGUCUUUUUUGAUCGUCCGCCAUGUUUGUUUUGAUUUGAAUUGUUUCAAUUUACCGUAAUUCCGCUGACUGAUUUUACCGCUUACUCAUGCUCAGAGUAAUUGGCUCAACACAUUAGGUGCGACGUAUGAAUCAACGUCGAUCCUAUUGUAAUUGUGUCGACCCAAACAGGAUAUUAGGUUCGGCACAUGAAAGCGCGACGUAUGAAUCGGGCCUAAGUAAGACAAUGAUAAUGUACAGGUUUUUUUUAUUGAACCAGACAAUUUUCGUAUUUUUUUAUUAGGUAGAUCCCAACUAAUUCAUAGCGAUUAUUCAUUUUUGCUCAACUUUAUUCUUUAUAAACUAGCGCCUCAAUUUAACUGGAUUUUUCAUAUUUAACUUUAUUUUCAUAUUUUCUAAGCGUUUGGCCUGUAUAUAUUAUAUUUUAAAGCCUCAAUUUAUACAAACGGUAGUGCAUUGAAAAAGCCAACAACUCCGAGUAUAUAGAAUGCAAAUAUAGCAAUGUUUAAUUUAAUUUUUUUAGAAACUUUAGAAAAUUCGAUGCCUUUGAAACUGAUAUAGAUUGUAAAUAAAAGGUGAAAUUUUAGAUUAUGGAAAAUAGAAAAUAUCUGUCAGCUAGUUUUGGAGAAACUAUAUCAGCAUGCAGUAGCGUGGUAAAAUCCACUAUUUUUAAUUAAACACGCAAUAUUGAAUACUUGGCUAACGGUCGUGUCAAUCAUUA